CUCAGGUCCCAUACGCAUAGUUCAAUCGCCAUGGAGUCAAAGUCUGUUACAGUUCUUCGGUAUGCGAUUGACUCCAUGGGAAGGCUAUCUGGGGUAAGUCCAUUUGUGCAUUUAAACCUCCUGUCGAUUGAGAAGGGAGGUCGGCGGCUUCAGUGGUGUUCGGCUGAAAGUGUCCGUUUUCAGUUCCAUGAAAUCAAUGCCGAACACCGCU